UACGUAGGGGCAAGCGUUGUCCGGAAUCAUUGGGCGUAAAGCGCGCGCAGGCGGUCAGAGGCGUCGGUGCUCAAAGUCCACCGCUUAACGUGGGAGGCGUGCCGAUACGCUCUGACUGGAGGGCGGGCGAGGGUGGUGGAAUUGCCGGUGUAGUGGUGAAAUGCGUAGAGAUCGGCAGGAACACCAGUGGCGAAGGCGGCCACCUAGCCCGCACCUGACGCUGAGGCGCGACAGCGUGGGGAGCGAACUGG
rnacentral:rRNA from 1 species